UUUAAUGAUUUACUAUAAAUCAGCAGCCGAGGCCUCUGCUUGGGGAGACUGAGGGGGAUGACAGCUCCUGACUCACACACCUCGCAAAUGCCUUGCUGAUGAUGUGUGUGUGCUUCAGAUCAUCAAUCACCGAGCGCACACGCGUAUACACACACACACACGCACACACACCGAGACACAGACACACACUUUUGCAGAAACAUGCUUUCAACACACGUACACAGACAACAGGGUCACUCAUGCGUACGCCGACGCACGCACGCACGCGCGCACACACACACCCACACACGCAGCACACACAUGUUUCUUGUCUCUAAUGUCUCCUCUCCUGUGGCAGGGGACAAAUCAAUCAUGGGUACAGAAGUUCAAGGGGGUAAGAGAUUGUCUGGACCGUUUUUCCCUAUGCUAUUGAUCCCAUUUUACUGGCAUCAUCGCCAAGCUGUCUCACAAACCCCGGGACGGCGAUGGAUUGAAAGUGGAUGAUUGAGAGAGGAGCCGUCAUCCGUCUGACUGUCUGAAGGUGUUGGUGCCAUCUCCUUGUCCCUGAUUUGAUGAAAAAGACAUUGGAGGGAACACUUCCUGACAGCCCAUCCCAAAGUGUGUGGGAGAUGCAGAGAGUGACACAGAAUAUUUCUCUGAUAUUUCAAAUGAGGCUUAUAUCGAAAAUAUUGAUGCACUUCUCGAUGUCGUCUUAACCGCUCGCAGUGUUUCCUCGUCUCCUGCGUGUAACAGCAAAUGAGGGAGAUUGUCCAAGCAAAUGAUGGAUUUUGAGCGUGCAUGGAGAAAUGAAAACAAUGCUCUUGAAAGAGUCAGAGGGAUCACAUGAUAAACAUAUUGCGCGCAGAUUUUCCAACAGAUAAUUGUUAUUGCCAAAUCCUGAGCAUGUUUCAUGACACAGAAUUCCUGCUUUGCUCUGAUUCCCACUUGUGAGAUGACACAUAAACCGCUCAAAGGGAGAGAAAAAAAAAAAGAAAAGACAAGAAAGAUUAAGUUAAUAUCUCAGUAUUUCAAAAAUUCUAAUAUCCUUCUAAAGAAUUAAGGAUAGAUUUACAGCGGGGGAUUGUACUACAGCUGUUAAAAGUCUAUCUUGUUUACAGGAGCUGUUUCCUCGGGCUUCAUCCAAAAAAGGCUUGUUUCAUCAUGAAAAUAUAAUUUAAACCAUUCGCCCCGCAGUGCAGCAUUACAAUAAAGUUAUACUUCGGAUCAUUCAGUGGCCACUGUUACAAUAAUAAGCAUUACCAUAAUGUAGCUUAAAUCACUUACCUACAGCAUUACAAUGCAAACUCUAAAUGAUGUCAUAGCUCAAAUCAUUCAUCUGCACCUAUCCGUCACUAUCAGGUUGUUUAUCACAUUAUAUCUGCAGAAUGAUGAUGCACAAGUUUAAUUACAGAUUGAUGGAUGCUUCAUUCAUCUUCCCUGUUGCUGACAUCCUGAUUAAAACGUUGCAAAAGAUUA